AAACCUUUAUAUUGAUGACCCAAACAAUCGGAAAAAGGAUUCAUCAGAGAAAAUGACUUUACCCCAGUCCUCAGCAGUCCAAUCACUGUACCUUUUGCAUAAUAUCAGUCUGUC